rnacentral:lncRNA from 1 species
GUUUGUGGGAGCUGCUUCCUCGAGACUCAGAAAGCUGCCGGGGUGGAUGGAGCUUUGACUGAGCCCAAGGGUGGUGGCUUCAGCACCCUAGGAAAUGUGCCAGCAAGGUCUACAGUAUCAGCAACUUUACCUCUCCCUCCCAAAGCUUUCUGGAGUGCUUAGUAGAAGACAGAGGACUCUAAAGUGUGAAUGUGGAAUGGAAAUCGAGGCCACUGGGAACGGCUGCGUCGAAGAGUAACUUGGGAACGCAUAGGGAUUCACAGGAUAGAUAUUGUCUGGAUAUCAGGGCGAAAUGUUAAUUAGGGAUCAAAAUGUCCUUUUAAAUUAGCUAUGUUGAAGAGAAAGGAGAAGACCAGGAAACAGAAGAAAGAUAUAUGUUAUGUGGUAUUUUGGAAUAAAUAUUUAUAGAAAACAAUGAUCUGUUUGUUUAAAAACUACCGAUCUAAAAUGCUGCCCCGUCUCAUCCCUUCUUCCUGCUUUAUUUUCCUUCUCACUGUUUAUUCCCUGACAUGUUGUAAACUACACUUAUUUAUCUUGCAAAUGUUUCCUACUAGAACGUAAGGCCCAUGAGGGCGGACGUUUUGCCUCAUUCUCUUUGGAACAGUGGACACACAGGGACUUACACAAAUAUCUGUUGAAUGAAUGAAUGUACGCUUCACAUUUGAUGACUUACUAAUGUAAUGAUGUCUGACCAAUAGAUAAAUCUUUUUCCGUA